UUUUUUUUUGUUGUGAUGAUAACAAUGUUUGUUUUGAAAAAUAUAAUGAUGGUUAUACAUUAACAAAAUAGACUAUAAUUAUGCCUAUAAGAAAAUCAAAGAAAACUACGAAUCACUGUCAGAAAACUGACAAGCAAAUAUAUCUCAUUCUGUGUUGUUUUACGAUUAUCACUGUUGGUGCCUGAACCAAAUGAUCAGGCUUUUGACAACUACUAUGAACUUCCUCCAUACUCAACUAUUUCAACAGAUCCAGCUUCUGACCUUCCCACCGAGCAUCUCAAUAAUCUCUCUCUAGCGAGAACAAAGAGACCUUUUUUUUCAAGAUCCAACCAGACCUUUGUAGCGAGCAUAGGACAUAAUUAGUAUGAACAAAACAGCGGAAAUUGCUCCAGUUACAAUAACCACCCAUUUAAACAUGUAUCCAUGGUUAUCAUUCCAUGUGUAUGGGAUAUUCAUGCCAAAGAUUGCAGCCACCAAAGAAUAGAAGGAUAAACAUACAGUUCCUGAACUUAGAAAGAGCUCUAACUGAAUCAGCUGAUUUCGAUGAUUAUCAAGCUGAAUAUUAAUGUAAUCCUCUGUGUCAUCAAUAUAUUCACGCAACGCUGUUAAUUUGUUCAACGUGCUAUCAAUUUGCAUAAAAUAGGCCUCUAGUAACAUUUCAAGCUCCUCAACAUCAUUCUCAUCUCCAUGUACUGUUGCCACACUUACUCUACUUGCCCUAGAAAUUUUUGAACCAAUGGUAGGGGAGGCAGAAAGCCAAUAGGCACCACCAGAUCCACUAACUGGCGAUGUACCAGCCAACUUUCUUGACAAGUAAAGGUCAGCCAUAUCAUCAUCAUCAUCCAGCAGUUGCUCAAGUUCAUCUCUCACCUUCUGAACUCGAGCAGUCAACCUCGUCAUUGCACUCUUCAAUUUACGAACUCUGUCCAAGUUACGGCUACUAAUUUUGGAGGUAAGCUCAUCUAAAGCAGGAUAAGCAGCAGUCUCUAGUUCCGUUGUACGUGCAGCUAGAAAACUACAGAUGGCUUCUAAAGCUACCUCCAGUGCCCUGAAUUCAAAUGGAGACUCAUCCUCUUCACCAGCUUCAACGUCAUUUUGCCCACUGGGAUUCUCUUUCCCAUCUCCUUGGCCUUGGAGAAUGAGAUUUGCAGGAGGUAAUCGCCUUUGAAGCUCCUCCACAACUGGGAUGACAUUCUCAUCCAGUGGAUCUCGAAGCAAUACCUCUUCAGAAGUAAUUAUUGCCUUGAUGUGCUCCAAGUUCAAAACAAUAGCCCUCUCUCGUCCAAGAAUUGUAGAGGGAUACGACAACAACGGGUCGAGAAUCCGGAGAUCGCGCGCGUGAAUUUGCACUCGAUGCAUGAUCGCGUGCUUGUCGGCAUCAAGCAUGGUGCCUUGUCCACAAGCGUCGACGAGAAUCCAACUCCAGGCAGUCUGUGUCUUUUUCUUGACGGCGGCGGCCGCUGCCACCUGAGGGGCGGCCGGGACCACGUACCCGUCCCCCCCCCUGUCGCAAAACCAUAUCCAAAUCACAUCUCGUCC
rnacentral:misc_RNA from 1 species